CCUGCAGGUGGGAGGACGAUAAUAAUUGGAAAGUUGUGUUAUUGAUAUGCGCUAGCCCUGAAUUCAAUAUAUCUGGCUAAAAAAAAAAGAAAACAUUGAUGCAAAGCUUAAAUUUCUCUCUGUUUUGAACAUGUCAAAGUGCAGCCUGUUGCAUGCCUGCUCUGGUCCCGACAUGGUGUGUGCAGGUUUUCUGAUUUUUUAUUUAGGUGUCGUGCAGAGGGUGUCACCCCAGCCUGCAAACAUCACCUCCUCCAACCCUCCCUUCCUGCAUGCUCUAACUCUACAUAUAGGCAGGUAACCGGCGUAAUAUGUCCCACCAGUGAGUUCAAACGCAAAAUGUCAUUUUCUUGUCAAAUUGAUGAUUAUAUUUAUAAUAUCUAAGAGCUGAAUGAAAUAAACUGGCUUGACAAAAAAUAUAUUUGAUCAUAUAUGACUCAAGUCAGAGAGGUAUCAGCAAAAUAAUAUGCUUAAUGCUAGCAGGAAAAGAGCUGCGUCUAAUAUUUUGCUUACCUUAUAUAGUAAAUCAAAUAUUUAACCAACUGUCUGAUUCGGGUGAUGAAGCCCAAUUAAAGGGAAUUUUGGAUGUGCUUUCCAAUUAAACCACCAGGAGGAGGCGGACCCCACGUUGUAAAGCAUUAAUAGCUAAUUAACAAUGACUGCACAAUACACGACGAGGCCCUGUGGCCAGAGCUGACUGGUCUCUGUCCUUUCUGUUUUCCAAGAUCCGACACAGCUAAGUAAUGUGAGUCAGUUUAAUUCAUGUUACAUGCCGAUGUGAUGCACAAUUUGUGUUUUCGUGAACUGCUGCUCAUGUCCGUUGGCCUAUGGAGGGAUUUGGGGACCCGCUUCAGCACCGCGGACAGCAGCUUGCAACACACUGAUAAAGGCGAGUGAACCCCACGAUUCAGCGAUGGAUACUAGCCUUGCUGGCUUUGGGAAAGUGGCCAGAAUUGGUCACCCUAGUUGCAGGAUUUAUUUGUUGUCAGAAAACCAAGCUGGGAAUAACCUGGGAGAUGCCACCGCGACCCGUCCGUCGGCGCAUAAGCCUCCUUGAUCUCUUAAACCUCACAUUUCUUAGUGUUUGGAUGCUGGAACAUUUGCUUAAUCCACACAGUAAGUGAAUGGCGGAAUUGCGCAGACGGUAGCCGCCGCCGUUAGCCACCAAAGAAAGCUGCUCAACGCUAAUAAGCUGAGUCUUAACAGUGUUUCCUUUUUGCUACAUGACUGACAGUUCAAUUGCUCAUCGCGUGUGAGUGAGAAUGGAGGUCAGGGAGGAGUUGGCAGGAAGGUGUGUACAUGUGAUGAUUUGCACCUGCAGCAAAGGUCUGUACCUUGCAGCGUGUUCCUUUUUGCAUUAUUGCCGCACUGAGGAGCUGCAGAAAGUGAGUUUUAGUAUGGAAAGCAAUCCAUGACUUUGAUUUACGUGGAGGUCUUAAGUGGAAGUCUACACGUGAUCUUAGAGCACUUAUUCAGCUUAUGUCACACUCCACAUCAAUGCUGAGAACCUGCGCGGAACAACAGGGGCCUCGUAUUGGAAGGAUUUGGAAAACAUUUAAAGUAGUCAUCCAUCAGUGUGUCAACACUGACAAGUUCACCAAAUAUGGUACGCCUCUGGGGACAGGUUAUUAUGACAAAGACAAAUGGAACUCGAGUUAAAAACGUUUUAAAAUGAGAUUAAGAUAAAAGCCACUUUUUAAAAAGAUCCAUUCUUGGUGAUUUUCACUCACCUAUCGUCAGACUGAUCCAAAACCUUUUUUUGUCAAAGGAUAAAAUUACUUGUAAGGUUUAUGUUAAGUUUGAAGG